CGCCCCGCCCGGCCGCGCUGGUAAUGGCGGCGGUGGCGGUGGCGGCAGGGGGCGCCGGCGGGGUGCUCGCCGCCAUCGGGCCUCACGGGGCGGACCUGAGUCAGGCACGGGGCUGGGGGGCGCCUGGGCCGGGUUGGAGUUGUUCACCUAACCAACACGGUCGUUCGUGUCGUUUUUGCUUUCCUCACGUGGGAGUGCACCUUGUGGAAACCAGAAUUUCUGCUGUGGGAAAAAAAAAAAUGUAAAAAACUCUUAAUUCCUUUUCUCUUGAAACAAAACUGACUCAAAUGUCGAUGUGUUGCUCUGUUUUUGACCGAACGUCAUUGUGCGACAGAAUAUUUUUACAGAAAUGUUUAUAAAUGCUACACGCAUAUCCCCUCUUUCCACUCAAACUUCUGUUUUUCUCAUCAGCUACCUGCAACCUAGCUGGGAUACUUUGCUCAAGACAGCAGUUACCUUCCUCCAGAGCUUUAAGGAUAAAAGGCAUUCUAAUGAACAUUUGUAGGAGGAAAGAAAAGUUGAUUGUUAAGCCUGAGGAACAAGCUUCUGUGUAAAAGGAAGCAGGUUAUGCAGAUCAGUUAUACUAACGGAAUAUAUUAAUGAGCAGUUUGUUUGCAUUUAUGUCAUGUAGUGGUUUAAGGCUGUGUUGGGCAACUACAUAUUAACUCCAAGAAAAACAAAAGCAGAACUAUCUGUUGUGAAGUAAAGUGUAUGAAUCAGGAACUAAACCAAACCAAGCUGUGCUGCGUGGACAGAGUCCGCCCAGAGAUCCAAGUGAUCUCAGGAGAAGGGUGAAGCUGAAUUGUGUCUCCAAGGCUGUACCCACGCAUACCAGAUACUGCCCUUUGUACCGCUGUAGAUAGAGAAGCGUAGUAGGUCGUUCUGCUGCUGUGUCUAUUCCUGUGCAGAGGAGAACGGCGUCCUUCUGAGGACUGCAGUAACAGUGAUUACUUGAACACAACAACCACAUUGCUAUGAUAUGAUAUGAAACCCAGCCUAAAAAGCGACCUCAGCUUCAAACCAGGGGUGCCUCUGAGCUAACAGUAUACCAUGAUACAACACCUCAGUGCUGAAGUGACACACAGAAUGGAUGCAGCUUUUUACAAUGCGCUGAGACCUGUAAACGGCAGUGGGAAGAGGACACUGAAUAAACACCAUUUUUUGCUUUGUCUGC